AUAGUGAGUGUUUGCACCUCUGUCAAUAAAUAUAGUUGUAACUGGACCCCCCUACUAUUCGCUGCGGAAAGUUUGCGUUACUGCGCAGGGGCCAUGUUGAUUCUAGUUGAAAUCGUACGCAGCUGAUGCUCACACAGAAAUUAUACGAAGUGGCGCACGUUUAGAAAGAAAAAAAGUAACAAAAAAUGUCUGUUGCGGUUGGAAGUAAACCUUCUCAGAGUGAAGAUCUGCGGAACUUGACUUUAUCUGGUCAUGUUGGCUUCGACAGUCUUCCAGAUCAACUGGUCAACAAAUCCACAACGCAGGGUUUCUGUUUCAACAUCCUUUGUGUGGGGGAGACCGGUAUUGGCAAAUCCACCUUGAUGGACACGCUGUUCAACACCAAGUUUGAAGGUGAUCCCGCUUCCCACAACGAGCCCGGGGUCCGGCUAAAAGCACAGAGUUACGAACUCCAGGAAAGCAACGUACGUCUAAAAUUGACAACCGUCGACACGGUGGGAUUUGGAGACCAGAUUAACAAAGAAGAUAGCUAUAAACCAAUAGUUGAAUACAUUGAUGCCCAGUUUGAAGCCUACCUGCAGGAGGAGCUGAAAAUCAAGAGAUCCUUAUUUAAUUACCAUGACUCCCGGAUUCACGCCUGUCUGUACUUCAUUGCCCCCACUGGACACUCGCUAAAGUCUCUCGACCUUGUUACAAUGAAGAAGCUAGACAGCAAGGUGAAUAUAAUCCCGAUCAUUGCCAAAGCGGAUACCAUUGCCAAGAAUGAGCUUCAUAAGUUUAAGAGUAAAAUCAUGAGUGAACUGGUCAGCAACGGAGUACAGAUCUACCAGUUCCCAACUGAUGAGGAGACUGUAGCAGAAAUCAAUGCAACUAUGAGUGUCCAUCUUCCAUUUGCUGUUGUGGGGAGCACUGAAGAGGUGAAGAUAGGAAAUAAAAUGGCCAAGGCAAGACAGUACCCCUGGGGUGUUGUGCAGGUGGAGAAUGAGAAUCACUGUGACUUUGUGAAGCUCAGGGAGAUGCUGAUCAGGGUGAACAUGGAGGACCUGCGGGAGCAGACGCACUCCCGGCACUACGAGCUCUACCGCCGCUGCAAGCUGGAGGAGAUGGGCUUCAAGGACACAGACCCCGACUGCAAGCCCUUCAGCCUUCAGGAGACGUAUGAAGCGAAGAGGAAUGAGUUCCUGGGGGAGCUGCAGAAGAAGGAGGAGGAAAUGAGGCAGAUGUUUGUGAUGAGGGUCAAGGAGAAGGAGACUGAACUCAAAGAAGCUGAAAAAGAGCUUCAUGAGAAGUUUGACAGACUAAAGAAGACGCACCAGGACGAGAAGAAGAAGCUGGAAGACAAGAAGAAGGAGAUUGAGGACGAGGUCGGUGCCUUCAGCAAGAAGAAAGCAGCAGUGCAGCUUCUCCAGGCCCAGCAGGCCGGCUCCCAAUCCACAAAGAAGGACAAAGACAAGAAAAAAUUCUUACCGUUUCUGAAACAUCCCAAGACGUGGAGGCCGCUGCUGACCCUCUGAGUUGUGGGAUGUUGUUUUUAUUCUGCUGCUGAUGUUCUCUCUGCUUUCUUUCCCUUCCAGGCUAGGUAGCCUCUCUUUCUUACUCUUCACUCUGAGACACACACACAUACACACUGUCCCAUUAAGCACCUUUACAGCUCCUCUGCUUCUUUUACUAGCAGAUUUUUGUUUGACUCUUUUCGACAAGCAUGGCUCCAGGGAAAAAAACAAAACGAUCUUUUGAAUGGUUUGGACAACAAGAGUAGGGAAAUGCAGAAAGACCGCCUUUUAAAAGAAACCUUCAAAUUCCAAUGUUUGGGCCUCCAGGUUAAAGAAAAAAAAGCAUUACUAAGAAUUAAAUCUACAAUUAAUUGUUUCCUCUAAGUAACUAACUUUUAUAUUAUCUGUAUUUAAUUGCUGACAAGCAGUUGAAAUGAAUUCAUGGAAAUUCACCAAGGCUGAAUUGGAAGAACCUGCAAUGCAAGUGACUCCAUGAGAGCUAGAUGAAAUAUUGAUUUUCUGAAAUACUGUUGAGCAAAGCAAAAAGUUUUCAGAUAGCUUUCGAGCUCCUGGGUGUAAAAGAGGAAGCUGGCUCUGAACCUUCAGGUCUUCUGAGCUAUGUGGGGAAUUGAGGGGGGAAAAUGUAUUGGACAUUCCAAAUGAGGGAGAAAGUCCGGGUACAAAUAACUGGGCACACAAAAUAAAAAAAAAGGAUAAAGGCUCAAGAUAAUAAUAUUGCUUACUGUUUCAGUAACCCAGGCCAUCGCUUAUGGGAAAACAGUAAUACACGUCUCAGCAGAUACAGAACUGAAAUUGAUCUCUUAUUGGAGGAAUAAAAUCCCUUGAGCCAUGUUAAGUUUCAGCCUUGUAGUAGCCAUUCUGUUUCUUUCUAUCUCUUCUGCUUUGUUUCUUCACAGUAAUCCUUGGCUCUGCACGGAAUAACUAACUCCAUCAAUGUCUUUAUGGAUUUAUUCUUUCCUCUAUGCAUCCGCUUCUUUCUCUAGUCUUCUCAUUGCCAGCUGCUUGCACGUUCUGCGCUGGAGAGCACGUGUACUCGCUCUUAGAAGACAUGCUCCUGCAUUCUCUAUUGCUUGUGUUUCUUUGCCUCUAUCACAAUGACAGCAUUUAUAUAGAAACGUUGGCAUCCUCUUUGGAAGUUUAAAAGCAGUUUUCAGAUUGUCUUAUGUUUUAGCUUUAUUAAAGUGCAAAUGUCUAUCGGACGAUCAUGAUUGCACCGUGUAUGGUUGAGUGCGGAUUGAGGGGUCAAAAGUUUUGGGGUUAUUUUCCAGGUAAAUGUAUCUGUUAUGAAAUAGCCAUAUAUUGUAUUACAACUUUUAAUCCUUGUAUUAAGUACUUUUUAAUUCAUUUUUAAAUGCUUUUAUUGUAAUAGUUUGACAAUAUUGUGUGGCACAGCUUUACUGUUUAGGGUUAGAUGAUCAAAUUAACAGCAGAUGUUUCAUAACUACUGGGUGGGGGUGGGAUAUCUUUUUAUAAAAAGAAAAAAAAAACAUACAUUGCACAACUACAAAGUGUGAAGUGAUUGAAUGUUUUACUAAUGAAUUGUGGUGCUUCCUUCCAUGAUAUAUGAACUGGAAUUCAGAGGCAGUGCAUUGUAGAACACGACCAGACCGAAAGCACAGCAGAGCUACUCGCAGCCCACAAAGUGCUUCUCAAAUGACAAUUCUCGUGUUUAUGAACACUUGCUCCUUUAUAUCAUUCGCCAUUCACAAAAAAAAAAUCCACCAAUAAUCAUGUUAUGUUAAUACACCACAGUAACCCAUCAGCACCAUCACAUUAUCCUGAUGCGCAUCGUAGCGUGACCUGGUCAUCUUGACUCGCACUCUUUCAUGUCAUGAAUUCUUUAAAUCAAUAUAACCCGAAGAACCAUGUUCCAUAAGUGAUCCACAUUGUGCACUUUCAACACAAACCUGUAUCUGCUCAAGUCUUUCUUACCUGGCAUUCACUACAUAGCUACUCAAUAUGCAGUUGUAGUACAUGGGAUAUUUUCAUACAUGAUAUCUGGUACUAGACUGUGUUAAAGAAAGCUGUUUGCAAGCCUUGCUUUAAGUUGUCUUGCACUUCCUUGGUCGCCUCACCUGGAGCGUGAAAUUGUCCCCACCCCUUCAACACCAUCUUUCCCAUUGUUAACCAAUGACCUGGUUCCCUUAUUGAAUGUCAUGCUUUGCAGCCAGUAACAUGCUUUAACGUUGUGUAGUGCCAGAUGCUCUUAAAAGAAAAUGCAUAUUUGAUAAAGCCUGUUUAUUUGAGACGUGCACACAACUGAUUAGGGAAGGGCCUGACAGUAAGAUUUAUGGAAUGAUUCUGUUAGCUACAAGCACUUUAAUGGGUGUUUUGUUCUGCAAGCUGCUCUCAUAAUACUUGGUCAGGUAUCCUGUCCAAACCAAAAGAACAAGAGAAAAAAAAAUGCCGUGACAUUGGGGAGUAGACUUCCUCUGCUUCCUUUAUGAGAAGCCUUAAUCUGUUUCCCAUUACAUACCCAAAACAUUCAUGUACCAUAUUUUAAUAUAUAGUGACUGGUGACCAGCAAUUUGGAGACCUUAUUUUUUGGUCUAAUUUUCCUGAUGCAUUUGGAUUAUUUCCUGGCAGAUUAAAGUCCAAUAUUGCACUUCUUUUAUAUUCAGUUCAUUUUAUGUUUGGAGUUCAGACUUCUGCCUUGUAAAAAAAAAAAAAAGGGGGUGGUUCAAAGUGUUAUGGUUGUGGUCAACAUGGGGCUUUAGACUUCAUAUUCAUAGGGUUGAACCUCACUGGCACAGAUUUUAGUCCAGGAUGGAAAUGGAUCUAAUCAGGAUCUCAACUGGUUUUCCCAUACCAAGUUAAAAUAUCUGGUAACUGCAGUAUGUUUGAGAGGAUCUGGAUAACAACCAAAAGAAUCAUCAGAUGUGACUGAGGAGAGCAGAUCUCAUGCCGGACUUGUAAAGAUCAAGUAUGAGCUUCAGAGUUGCUUUGAAAACUGGGUCUGGAUCGUUCAACAUGCGCUGAAGAAGCUCAAAGGAAGCAACUGAAGCUGUGCCUCCAACAUGUAAUGAUCUGUCACAGUCUGAACAAAGCUUGAACUGUUUUGUACAAUACCUCCUGAUACUGGCCCCAUGAUGGACAGGGGGGGGGGGGAGAGAAUUAAACUCUUGUCAUGGGCAUUCAAAUUAAAAUAAAUGUGUGAAAUAAAAGGUCUUAACUACUAGAUCCAACCUUUUGAUUCUGGAGCCAGUUUGUGUUGGUGGCUCCAUUCUGUUCAGGGAAGCCUAUUUUUCUGUAAGAGGGAGGAAGGGCGGGGUCAGUGCCAUGUUGGUUUGAGAGAAGGCCAACACAACUUGUGCAUUGCACACUUCCACGUUGUGAAUGGAUUCGCCUGAGGCUUUGUGAAAUGUUCACACAUUAUUAUAUAACAUUCAUGAGCUCUGGAGCUCAAUUUCCUGUGCACUUUUGCAUUAGCUAUAGGGGCACAGAGCAUUUUACAGACGGGUGGCUGGUAAAUUCUUCAUAUUAAUUAAAGGACCCCACAGAUCUGAUCUUGGACUUCCUGUAAGCUGGUCAAAGAUUAGUGCCAUUUGGUGUCCUUGAAAACAACUGAUGAGUUUGGUUUUCCCGAUUCACCUGUCACACGUCUUUUGAAAAAUGUUUUAUGUCAGUUUGUUGCUUUUCCACACAAAAAGACACUGGCAAAAUCAAAGGGUUUCGGUCAAUUAGUUGUUGCGAUUGGCUGAGAGGAAUUUAGUCAUUUUUAAUAUCUAUUUUCCCUUUUAUGAAAGACUCCAUUUUUUUAAAGAAUCGUUUGGUAUACUUGAUGUUUAUAAAAAUGUUUUCAAUGUAA